rnacentral:lncRNA from 1 species
UAUCUUUUUUUAUAACAACAAAGAUAAGAGCGUACACAAAAUAAUAUGAUCAGUCUUAAAAUGAACGCACAAUCUAUUCAACAAUUUCUUUCCUAGGGAGAAAUAACAAAUAAUAAAAGUCUGUAAAUGUCUAAUAUUCCUCACGUUUAAUGAAAAUCAAUUCGAUUUAUUAUGUUUUCUCUGUGUUAUUGUUUCUCUUAAGUACUUAAAAAUUAAGACCCUAACAAAGUUUCUAAAUAACUAAAAAUUACUACGCGGCAAAUUAUUUUCUCGGCGCAAAAUACAAUGUAUAUGUAUUAUUUAUUGAAAUAAACUCACAAAGAGAACAUAAUAAAGCAACUUUAUCACCGGACAUAAUUUUUCAGUGAUAAAGAUGUAUUAACGCUUGAUUUCUUUUGCAUGAAGCUCAUUUGUUAUAAGAGGUUAUCAUCUGAAAGGGGACAAAUGGAAUUGGUGAGCAGAGUCAGUUAAGACUGUCGACGACGGACCUCAGCGCACCUACCGAUCCUCCGGGAAUAUCAUACCGCUGGCGAUAACGUUGGGGUUGCGGGCGAGUCCCCCGUUCUUUUCGCGAUUGGCGCAACUGGACGUUGCUACUGCAGCGGGGAGUCGCCGUAAAGGCUUGCCGCACACAGGGAGACGCGAGAGCAAACGCACGUAAACCACGCUUCGCGUCGUACAUGUACGUACGUGUGUAUGUUAAGUUGGUAGCUUCUGAAAUCCGUGGCUGAUGCGGGGCCGAUAGUGUUGGGACGCCCAGCGGGCAGUCCCAGCUACCACGGCACCCAAGGAUCUAUAGUCGUGACGAGAAUCCACGGACCAUUACAAGCUGAACGAUGGACGUACGCGCUUUCGAGAUUCAUUUCUGCCGGGGCAACGCUCUCACGGCGGGGAAUAUUUUGGUGAAUCCACGCCGCGGAUCUCUCCUCGAUUCGUUCGUCACCCCACGCGAAGAAUCUGUGUGUGUCAAUGUCACGGCGAGGGAGCUUUGUGUCUCAGUUGUAUUCACGCAAAGAGAAACGAGAUUUCGUGAAGAAUCGGCAUAAUUCGAAGAAGGCGAGGGAGGCGAGUAGCGCAGAAAGUAUGGAAACAAAAGGAGCACCUCUCGUCCCGCUGGAACGACGAGAAAAAGAAGGUCCGAAGGCGGGAAUGUUGUUCGCUCGCGGAGUUUGUCACCGUGGAACGCUACAUUAUACCAUUAAGGACACCUGAAAUAGCAGCGACGGCCAGCUCGAGUUUUACGUGCCACAUUUGCCACGAGGACCGCGUGGUGUCCGCAAGGUGAUUUACAGUUGACUCGGACCAUCGUACAUCAACAAACGAACCUUCAUCGACGCCUCUUUCGUGAAACAAAUUAAAGAUAAAGACAAGAGGAAGCCUUCGUGGAUGAGUCACCACCGCGCCUUUACGCCGAAGAAGCCACCGCGACGUCGGUUCCCCGGUCGUCGUUCACCCUACAGUCGUAUGUAUAAACGAGCACGUACACCACCACCAUCACCAUCACCAGGGAUCCCUAAAGACCGCGGUGAAGCCGAUACUUAAAUCACUCCGGUCACUCAGCCUCGCGGCUCAGAUUGAUGUAAGGCCGUGUUUUACAUUCAAUUCAAUUGGGCAAAAAACUGCUGUCCGCUGGUGGGACGCAGUGGGCACCGCGUUCCCGAUGCCGGCGCAUUGUGUCGAUCGACGAUUCGCCCUCCCUCCCUCUCUCUCUUUCUAUCGUUGCUUGUUUUUUCCUUUUGGGGGAAACCGCGACCAAGCGCUGCCUUCUUUCGAUUCGUGCUACGAAUCUCCGGUCCAUGGCGCGAGAGGAGGCAAGAGGCCGCUCGUUAGAGCUGUCCGCGAGAUCGCUGACACGAAAUUGUCAUUAUCUAUCGCGCGCCAAAGAGCGCGGAACGAUUGCAGCCCCGAGAGGCUCUCGUCUUUUCAUCCCUUUGCCGUCUCCUCGCGGCGAACGGCCGACGAACGCGGUAACCGUCAUUGAGACAAGGUAGACCCUUUAAACGCCGAUUACUCACAAAAAUGAAAAAGUAUCUUAUCGCAUAAUGUGUAACUGAAAAGUGUACACGAAAAGACAUCAUACCACAAGAUACCACAUCAUUCGAUUAGAAAAGUUCGGAAACGUUCGCGCUACGAUCCUAAAAAAUAGAUUUUUUUUUUCAAACAUUUUCAAAAUUUUGCACCGAUAAUUUCGAAAUUUUUCUUUUAAAAAAAAAAAAAAACUGUAAGACAUUAUUUGUUAGAUCGCCGUUUCGGGUAUCUAAAUAAACGAUUGUGUCACUCGUGACGACGACCGUCGGAGGGUGUACCUUGUCCCGGCUAUUUCCUUUUUUCUGCGUGAGAUCCUAGAAAGGGACAGACGCGCGGUAUUUUCCUAUCGGGAUCGGAUCUACAUAGGGGACAUUAUUCUCAGGACGACGUCGUUAUUCGGUAUGCGGGAUUCCACGACGCCGCUUUUGACGUAAAUUGCGAGGAGCGCCGGUCACGUUCCCACUUUAUUCCACCGUCGUUUGCGUCGUCGGUGCCGAAGGACGUGCAGACAUCCGACCAUCGUCGCAGGACGACGCACGUGUCCUUCCUGCUUCGGUCUAGUCCACGCCCCGAGGACAACCGAGCGCUCCCCUUUGAGCUCUGAAUCCCUCGGAAGUGAUACACUUACGGUGACCAUUACGUUUAUUUAAAUUAGAUUCUUCCAAGAUUACCAGUGGGUACAAUUUGGAUUUAAAAACGUGACGUGUGUUUAAACGAUUUCCCCGGAGUUGUUAAUAAAUUUUAAAUAUUAUUUAUAAAGUGUUCUCUCCCGCAAGUCUUAAUGAAAUUAUUUUACUUCUCGAAUCAUUAAAAAUACAAUAUUUUCCAACUAGAUUAGACGGAUGACAGAAACAUAAUAUUUAAAGACAUACAUUACCGUCAGAAAGAUUAAGACUAAAGAUCUAUAUAUUAUUUAAAAAAUUAGAUUAAUAUCACAGCUAAAAUAAUCACAGAUUCUAUUUAUUCUAUACAUUUUAAUUGUUUAUAAUAAUAUUUAAUGACAUAGAAAAUUAUUGAUUAUUUUAAAUGAUAUCAAUCCAUUUUUUUUAAUUGUAACAUAUAUCUUUGGCUCUAAACUUUCUGACAGUAGUGUAUACCUAGAGCGACACUCUUAUUCCACUUCGUUUGCAUCUUUCGAAACAAAAUCUUCCAUUUUCAAAACAAAGUAUAAAUUAUCUGCGUUUCGCUUUCUUCAAAUUGGACGCAUUAUACGAUACUUUUUCAUACAAUAAUUGAAAGAUAGCAUUGAAAGUCAUUAAUAAUGCGGCAUAAAUUAUAAUAAAUUCGUGAGAUGAUUAAAAGUGCGCUUAUGCAUGAUUUGUCACGCCAGGCGACAGAUUGACGUCGCGUAAAAUACGAGCGUCUUCCAAUCAGAUUCGUCGACUGGUUCUUUCGCUACCGAUUGAAAAAAAAAAAAAGAAAACGAGACAGCCGCUAAUUAGUGAUUCCAAGAAUCGAGACCGUUUCCAUCCGGCGAUCUCCUGCGUGGAUCAAAUCGCCGAAGGAAGAUAGGCUUUUCGAAGGUGCGAAGGGUCGAGAAGAAGUGCAAGGCAUUCAAGAAAUUCGUCGAAGAAAUCGUGCAUCGAUUGUAAAAUAUCUUCUUUACUCUAUGUACGUGCAUCAGUCAAAAAUUUGAUAUUUAUCUCUAUUGUACACAAAGUUGUUAACUGAAAUUUUAUCAGACUUAUUGAAAAAACGAAACUUUGUGCAUGUCUUUGCAUGUCAAAUUAAGCAAUAUUAUUAGAACAUGCAUUUAGAGAGAGAAUACUUUUUUAAAUCCAAUGUAAACUCAAACAAUACAUGUGUCAAAACAUUGUAUAAAGUUACAGACGCGGAAGAAUUCCUUUAGUACAUAAAAAAUUAUUCCUAGAGAUAAUUAUAUGAUUCCUGGUCCACAUGCGAUUACGAGAAGAUGAAAUCGUCAUCCCAGGCGUCAAUCUGUCUCUGAUAGUAGGUAGACUCCGUGAGAGGGGGGGGGGAGGGGACCAAUGUCGCAGCCACGGCAUGAACACCCAUUUUCAGGCAGGGGACGAGCAGCAUGGGAAUAAAACAAGGUGGACACUAAUUAGCGAUUCCAGGAACCGAGAACACGAACCGUAGCUCAGCACCGGACCUCUCUUCUCCCGUUCGUCGUCGGGGUCUACACAACACGCCGUGUUGAAUCCCAGCUGGCGGGUUCCGUGGUGUAUGAGAGAGGAUCGGGAUACAUAUCGAAAGGGGAAAGGAGGACGGAGGAUCGAAGAAGGAGAGAAAACCAUCCGAAACAUUCGGGCCAGCCAGCGAGUGUCAACUCACGGAAUGCAUUACCCUUGACCCCCAUCCUCCUCCCACGUCUCUCUUUUCACCGGUCCUCUCUCACGAACUCACCCUUGUCAUCGAGGGAAUUUUCCCUGGAAUUCUUAAUGCUCGUCGAUACACGACGAAAUUAAUGACAGGAAUAUCCAAUGCGUUCGACUUGAAAUCUAUACGCGCGACGUAGAUUGAAUUUACGAUAACAACGUUUUGUAGUGUUUAAAACAGAUCAGCUUACUAUGCUUGUUGCUCUAUAGCAAAUGCAGAAAUUGUUACUUUAAAAUAUAGACAAAGAAUUUUUAGAAAUAGCAAGAGCAAGUAAAAUAAAACAAACAUUAACUUUUCCUUGUCUAAAAUCAAUUUUAAUUAACAAUAUAAUCUAAUGGAUCGCACUUUGACUUCUUUAUACUUUCAAACCUAAUGUUAUGUGUUUUUAAUAAAAGCAAGAACAAUGUAAAGUUUUACGUAAAUAUUAAAUACGCUUAGUAAUUUUACC